GUGCUUGCUUUGGCAGCACAUAUACUAAAAUUGGAACAAUACAGAGAAAAUUAGCAUGGUCCCUGUGCAAGGAUGACAUGCAAAUUAGUGAAGCAUCCCAUAUUUUU
rnacentral:snRNA from 1 species